CUGCUCCCUAGCCCUAUACCACUUCACAGACUCUAGUCUGGCAAAUCUACUCUGCUUAAGCCAUUCUCCAGCAGAAUUAUAGGCCUAUCUGAAAUCGAAUACCUCUGUUAAAAUUAAACAUAAAAUAAUAACCAGAUCGAAAAGACAUUUUAGGUCAACUUAAUCUUCUUCCCUCUCUCUUUGCAAAGCCAGGAGUUGGUGAGGGGACAUUACGAACUUAGUGACUGACGUCCUUAAAGCAACUGCGGUGGAACGAGCUCUGUCUACAGAACCGCGGGCU